CCUAUCCGUCGCGGGCGUUGGAAAUUUGAGAGGAGCUGUCCUUAGUACGAGAGGACCGGGAUGGACUUACCGCUGGUGUACCAGUUGUUCUGCCAAGGGCAUUGCUGGGUAGCUAUGUAGGGAAGGGAUAAACGCUGAAAGCAUCUAAGUGUGAAGCCCACCUCAAGAUGAGAUUUCCCAUUUCUUUAAGAAAGUAAGAUCCCUGAGAGAUGAUCAGGUAGAUAGGUCAGGAGUGGAAGUACAGUGAUGUAUGGAGCGGACUGAUACUAAUCGAUCGAGGACUUAACCAAU
rnacentral:rRNA from 1 species